CGCAUCUGUGCAUGCAGCAUAUCAAUAAGCGGAGGAAAAGAAACUAACAAGGAUUCCCUUAGUAACGGCGAGUGAAGCGGGAAGAGCUCAAAUUUGAAAUCUUCAAGGUUUUACCUUGACGAAUUGUAGUUUAAAGAAGUGUUUUCUGUUGAAGUUUUGGUAAAAGUUCUUUGGAAUAGGACAUCAUAGAGGGUGAGAAUCCCGUAUUUGACCAUUAUUUUCAGCUGUGUGAUACACUUUCAAAGAGUCGGAUUGUUUGGGAAUGCAGUCCAAAAUGGGUGGUAAAUUUCAUCUAAAGCUAAAUAUUGGCGAGAGACCGAUAGCGAACAAGUACCGUGAGGGAAAGAUGAAAAGAACUUUGAAAAGAGAGUUAACCAGUACGUGAAAUUGUCAAAAGGGAAGCGUUUGACACCAGUGUUGUUUUCUCGAAAAUCAAUUAAAAAGAGUUUGAUUUUGUUGUGUAUUGACCUUAACAGCUUGCAUUUCAAUUUUCUUGCUUUUUUUAAUGCACUUUUCGUUUAACAAGUCAACAUCAGUUUCUUUUGUUGUAAAAAGGUCAUUGGAAGGUGGCUUUCUUUUCGGAGAAAGUGUUUAUAGCCUUUGACUCCUGCAAUCGGAGAGACUGAGGUCUGCAGCGUAGAUCCUUCGGGGUUAGAUACAUUUGUGCUAAGUUAUAGCUUUUUAUAGACAACUUGUUGACUAUGAUUAGUCUUGUAGCUUACUCGCUUAUGCUAUUUUACCUACGCUUAGGAUGUUGAACUCUAUCACACACAG
rnacentral:rRNA from 1 species